rnacentral:rRNA from 1 species
AGUCGAGCGGAUGAGAGGAGCUUGCUCCUGGAUUCAGCGGCGGACGGGUGAGUAAUGCCUAGGAAUCUGCCUGGUAGUGGGGGACAACGUUUCGAAAGGAACGCUAAUACCGCAUACGUCCUACGGGAGAAAGCAGGGGACCUUCGGGCCUUGCGCUAUCAGAUGAGCCUAGGUCGGAUUAGCUAGUUGGUGAGGUAAUGGCUCACCAAGGCGACGAUCCGUAACUGGUCUGAGAGGAUGAUCAGUCACACUGGAACUGAGACACGGUCCAGACUCCUACGGGAGGCAGCAGUGGGGAAUAUUGGACAAUGGGCGAAAGCCUGAUCCAGCCAUGCCGCGUGUGUGAAGAAGGUCUUCGGAUUGUAAAGCACUUUAAGUUGGGAGGAAGGGUUGUAGAUUAAUACUCUGCAAUUUUGACGUUACCGACAGAAUAAGCACCGGCUAACUCUGUGCCAGCAGCCGCGGUAAUACAGAGGGUGCAAGCGUUAAUCGGAAUUACUGGGCGUAAAGCGCGCGUAGGUGGUUUGUUAAGUUGGAUGUGAAAUCCCCGGGCUNCACCUGGGAACUGCAUCCAAAACUGGCAAGCUAGAGUAUGGUAGAGGGGUGGUGGGAAUUUCCUGUGUAGCGGUGAAAUGCGUAGAUAUAGGGAGGGAACACCAGUGGCGAAGGCGACCACCUGGACUGAUACUGACACUGAGGUGCGAA